AUGUUAAAUGUAUUAUCUUUCAGGUUCUUGGCAAACCUCCCCGAAUUCAAGAACCUGCUCAAAGUCAAACCUGUAUUUGACAAGGAUGUUGAAGAAGCCAGCACAAUGAAGGGGUUCCGUCACUUUGAAUUCAACAGGGAUGACAGUAAGGUGUUGGAUGUGGACACACCUGAUGGAGGCUUGGUGGCAGAAUUUGAGCACAUGGUAUGAAACCCCACAAGCUGAAGAAGUUGUCAGCUGUUUGAAUUGUGCACAUGGGUUAAGA